AACAAAUUACACAGCUGCUCGUGCAAAUCUGAAACUUAACUCAGCUACCAAAGUUAUAUGUUAUUGAUUUCACAGGUAAACAAGUAACUUUUCAUAGUAAGCAAGCUAUUGAAUAUGGAACAGAAGUUGUCAGAGGUGUGUCACUAGGUAAAGGUGGAGAAACUCAACUUAAUUUGCCAGUAUUUAAUACAGUGAAAGAGGUUAUUUAACGGCAUCUUUUUAUCUGCAUGGGUCAUGUAGCGUCAAAUUAUUGCAUCGUUAUGGAUGAUAACUGGAAAGGAGGUGGAACAAUUGGAUAAUGGCUUCAUAUUCUGUCCCAGAAAUGUCCCUGAGGGACUAGCAGCUGCACUCGCACGAUAUUUUCAGUUACCAUCGACGUUCCAACGGAAGGUGAAAAUCCCCCCAAAGUAGGGAAAUUGAACCUUGUUGAUGUGGCCCGUAGUGAGAAUAUUGAAUGGCAAGCUGCCGUUGGUGGUGGAUUAGGAAAUAUUGAUCAGUCAUUCCUGACACUAGGACGUGUCAUUACGUUUUUUGUGGACAGAGCCGCGCAUGUACCUUUCAGAUAGAAGAGGAAAGAAAAAUUCUUUCAGGAGUAACUUGAUGCUGAAGCAACCAUUUUUAUGCAUUAUUAUAGAAGAGAACAUCUAAGAAGCAGAGUAACAGAUGACAAGUAUUAGACUUUGUUUGAAUGAAGGAACAGUGAUCUCUUUGUACGCAAGAAACUGAAAGGGAAAGAACAUCUGAUAUGCGAGGUGAAUUUAUUGUGCCUUUCAGUUUACACAAAAAUCCCAGAAUGACUUCUUUUCAAACACCAUCUUCCUCUUAUGCCGGCUCACAGGAAAAUGAAAAAGACAUAAUAGUAGCUGAAAUAAAAAAUCAGAACUUAUCUGUUGAUGGAAUACAAAGAGGAAACAUAUCAGUGUUUCAGGAUGGAGAAUCAACUGUGGAUAAUACCGUAAAGGUUAUUAGUCAAAUAAGCACAUCUCCUAGAAUAUCACUAAGUGAUGCACAAAGGAUAAAAAAUGAAGCUAGAAUGUGACAAGAAGUGUUGUGCAAAAUUUAAUGAAUAUUCAUGCACAAGGGAUAAAGUUAAGCAUUCUGUUACCAGAGUGCCCAAUCUAUCAGCUUACACUGACACAACAGGAAAAGGAGUCGAAUGCCUGGCAAUCAAAAGCAAGAGCUUGCAUAGCCAUAUUAGUACUGACUUAUCUUAUGUUGAUCAGAGUGCAGUGGUGUCAAAUAGUGCAACAAAAUUUUCUUCAAAGGGUAGAAACAUUGUCAUUGCAAGUGAUGUUUCAGAAUUAGAAAACAGACCAAAGGUUUCUUUAAAUACAGUAAAAGCAGUUGCUAACAGAGAAUUAAUAUUAGAAGACACAAGCAUUUCACUGAAGAACAUAACCCAAGAUAGUCUGCAAAUCUCGGAAAAUAACACUGGAAAUUCUACCAUUAUAUUGCAAAAAUAAAAUGUUUCCUGGAAGAGCUUCAUACACGAGAACUUAUUCUACAUUACCUUUAGAAGAUUGUGAAGUUUUAGAAUACAAAAUAAUGAACCCAAAAAAUAACACUGAUACUUGUACUGCUACAUUAAAAAAUGUAAUGCCCGUAACAACUACUUGAGGCAUGGUGUCUGGAUUAUCCACUGGAUCCCCAAAAGUUCCAGUAGAGAGGGAAUCAAUUAAAAGUGUUCCAUUAUCAAGGAAGCAGUCAAAUGUGGGAGAUCAACCUGCAUUGUCUUCAGAUCUUAAAAUUGUAUUGCCCAGAUCAAAGACCUCACAAAAUAAAAUUCCAAAUAAAGCUAAAAUGCCUCUAAGAAUAGAUUCAAACGUAAUAAGGCAGUGUGGAUUUCCCUUGGAACACACUCUAGUUUCACCAUCUAAAAUGAGUAUAGGAAAGACAGAUGUGAGGAAGGACAAUGAAUUAAAUAAAGCUUCAGAGAAUAAUGGUUCACAUCUGAAGAAGGGGAAUGAUAUCCUGUCAGUAGAGGAAGAAAACAGUUCCAAACAGUCAUGUUUAUCUGACCAUGAACAUUCUACAGUCUUACAGAGUAAAUCAUCAUUAGAGGAGUUAACAAGCAUGUAAAAAAGUAGUAAUUCGUCUACAGACUCUGUUGUACUGGAACGGAGGCCCGCAGAAAGAAGAGCAGUAGUGCAACAUAUGUUUCAAAUGUUACAGAUAUGAAAUGUCGUAUCUCAAAUGUGAAAAAACCUCCACCCUUAAUAGUAAUCACGGAAGAGGAAUCUGAUUCGUUAAUGUCACCUGUCUGUAACACUGUGCCAUCACAUAAGGAAGCUAAAAUUGUGAAAGGAUCAAGUGUAGACUGGGAACUGUUUAACAGCAAGAGUUCAUUACAUCUGAGAGAAAAGUCUGUAGAAUGUUAUUUUUCAAAAAGUAGUGGAGUUUCCUUGACUUCAGUAUCAGACAAACAAGUUUCAGUCCUGUCUGAGAAUAUGCAUAGUUCUUUAGACGGAGGAAAGGCAACAGACCAUAAAGCAUCACCACCAUCAGGUACAAAGUUGGAAUUAGAUGUGAAUAAACUACAUUAUAAUAUUUCAUUACUGUUCUCUGAUACUGAGAGAAAACAAAAUGAUGCUUGCAGUCUGUCAUCGGACAAAGGAAAGAAAACAAAAUUGGUUUCCAAAAAUAAGAAUAUGUUAGUACAUAAUCCAGAUGUAGUGUCUGAAAUUAGGCAAAGCUCAUCUGCUGGUAACUCUGUUGCUUGUAAAGAAAGCACUUGCGCAUGAACAAGAACAGAGCGUACACAUAUCAGUAUGUUUACGUGUUAAGAGAAAAGGUAAAGAAGCAUGUGGAUCACCAGAUUUCAAGGAAAAGGAAACAUCAGAUCACACUUCCAGAAGCAAUAAUGUAUCUGUUGUCCAUAAAUUUACAGUAUCUGGAUCUCUGUCUGGUAGUUCAGUUACUUCUUCAGGGUGUACAGCUGCUGUACAUUCACAGAGCCUUACAUUUCUGUGUAAUACUUUAGGAAACAAAUGUAUGCAACCUGCUAAAACCAUCGGUGAGCUACAGAUAACUCAUCCUCAGUCACAAAGUGUUAAAUUAUCACAUGAACUCUCUCAGCAUCCCAGUAAAUUCUGUGUGGUGAAGCGUAACAGUUUUGAGAUACUGAUGAGUGGGCAGAAAUCUCUACCUGAGGUACAGAACUGUAUGUCAAAACAAAGCUAAGGCAUGUAAACACUGAAAUUUGACAACUGCAGUACUGAGACACAGUCAAGAUGUGUUGCAUCAACAGAUCCAGAAAAUCAGAGCUCAGUAUCUGAAUUCUACCCACAUGAAUACAUUGGCUAUUUUGAGACUAUAGUAGCUGAAGCUUUGAAGGACAAAGACUUGUUAUCACUUCUUAGUGAGGUGGAAGUUAUGACUGUAACCAGCUUUCAGAAAUUAGAGUACCAAGUGAAGGCUCUUUAUGUGAGAAUGCUGAGCAGAAAAUAUACCUGGCACCGUGUGUCUGAUAUAAAAUAUGAUCAUAUUAAUGUGCCUGCAGCUUUCAUUGAACUUGAAGUAUCUGGCUUUGUAACAUCAGUUCUGAAAAAUUAGAAGUUCUUCUGAAUUUGCUGAAAGUUCCAGAACUAAGAUCGUUAUGCCUGACUUUCCGAAUUUCAUCAGCUACACGACCGAAGCCAGAACUGAUACAAGCUGCGUUACAAUAUGGGAGAAAUCAACAAACCAUAAGUGGAAAUCAAGCGAGUGACUCAGCAUCUCCUAUUAAAAGCAGGUAUAGAGUUGUGUACCCAACUGCUAAGCAUCAAUUGAAAACAUAAAUUACAAAAUCAGUGAAGCAAAAUUGUGUGUACCAAGUCUUUAAUAAUUCUUAUGGUUUUUUGUAACACCAAUUAUCAUUCUAUACUUUUUCUAGAAUAAUACCUGAAAUUAGACUUAUGGUAUAUAAUGUUUCUUUCUCUGGAUUUACCGUUUAUGAUAUGUGUCACCUGUCUCCUCAGUAUUUGUUAACAUUUCUUUGUUUAUGUUCAUCCCAGUAGUAAACAUCACCACCAAUUGUAGCUUCCUCUUUUCUCUCCUUCCCCCAACCAUUUCAUUGCUUUUCAUUGUCUGUAACUUCCCUGUAGCAGAACUCGCAUGUUCAACACAGACAACACCAAAACUUGCCACUGGCCAUGAUCCUGAUACAACUCCAUCCAUUUGCCAUCCUCAGAGCCCACCUCCCUAAGAUCCAUCUUGAUAUUAUCCUCCUAUCUCUUUCUUGGUCUACCCAGUGGUUGUUUUCCCGAUGGAUUCCCCACCAUAAUUCUGUAUGCACCCCUUGCCACCCCCAUGCAUGAUACACGUCCAGCCCAAGGGAGCCUCCUAGAUUUCACUAUCCUCACUAUGCUAGGUGAUCCGUGCAAUUCAUGCAGCUCCUCUUUAUGUAAUAUUCUAAAUUCCCCACUUAUUUUAUCCCUCCUAGGUUCAUAUAGCUUGUUUUCAAUCACUUGUAAUCUACUUUCUUCCUUCAAGGUAAGAGACCAUGUUUCACAACCAUACUAGACAACAGGCAAAAUUAUUGUUUUAUAUAUCCUGAUCUUCAGUGUUUUGGAUAGUGAAUUGAAUAAAAGCAAGCAUUCCAUGAAUGUAUUUUGCUCUUAAUUU